UCUAUCUAUGUACGGUAUAUUCAUCGGUAGAUUUAUUUCGUACCGUCUUCUGAACGUUCUGGAUCGUAUAGUUUGGUCGAUACUAGAAUCCUGUGAUAAAAGCAAAAUGUUUGCUCUCCAGAAGACUGUUGGAAGCGCAAGAUUGGCGAAACAGAUCGUACAACAGCGAAGAACCGUUGUUGAUUUACCUCCUUCCGUCAAAGUAUCAUUUAUUGAAAAGUUACUCGGUGGAGUGGCAAUUACCGUCUCGAUACUAGGAAUACCUACGUACGUUUCGUGUAACAUAAAGAAUUAUAAGAAGAAUUAAGAUGAGAAUGUAAUUACAUCUAUAGUUACAAAGUAUCUGCUUUAACGAUGCUGUUACUUAGGAUUAUUGUAAGAUAAUAUAUUUAAUAAUUUAAGAACCAUUAAGGUAUACCUCUAUAUUUAAGACAAAGUUCUUACUUGAUUUUCUCCUCUAAUUGAUUUUAACGCGUUGAUACGAAAUAUCUAAUUCUGACGUCAUUGUUUUCUUUUAUUUUUAUUUUUAUUGAAAUUUCAAGAGAAUCAUUGAAGACGUUAUCAGUUAUUAUAUUCAGAGGGAAAUAGCAGUAACGUGUGAAAGGAUGCGAUAUAUAAAUUUGUGAUAGGAAUAAAAAUACAAUAACACAAAUUUUCAUAUCGUCUUUUACGACACGGAGAUACGAUGAUAUCACGUAAAGCAUAAUUUUUGAAAAAAGAUAUCAAUUUCUCUUUUAUUCGUUUUUGCUUAAAACGAUUAAGCGUUACAAAAUUUCUUAAAUGAAAUUAUAGAUGCGGAUAAAUGGGAUCGAUGAUAACAUUCGUAGAUUCGAUGAUAUUUAUUUAUGAUCAGUAAACAAUUAAAAAAUUCGUCGAACGUUGCGCCAUUUUAUUUAGAUAGAAGCGGAAUAUGGUGAAGAGAGAAAAGAGAAAGGGGGAAAAAAAAUAAAACAAAAACAAACAAACGAAAAAGAAAAAAAAAAUAAUAAUAAGGCUAAGGACGUCGAUUUUUAUGAGAUUAUCGAAACAUAUUAUCAGGGACAUAAAUUAUGUUUCAAAAACGUGUCGUCUAUUGUGACGAAUAUGUUGUUUACGUCUUUUCAAACAAGUUGCACAACAUUUUUCUCGUACGAUCGAGGAAACGUCGCAUAUCCGUCUGUAAGUAGCACACAUCGACGAAGGUAUUAUACUGUCCUUGCAAUCUACGAAGAGAGAAACGAAGAUUAAUAUCAUCGAUAUAUAUCAUUCUCGAAUGAAAUAAAUAUAAUUACCAUUCUUCUCGUUGGUACAAUGUUUUCUAUAAUAACAUCGUCUAUUACCAAUUGGUUUUCUUUCGUAAUUACAAUCGUCCGACAAUAAGUUCGUUGUUCGAUCACGACACUCGACUUCCCUGCUUCUUAUACCAUAUUUUACGAGACAAGUUGCAUUGCAGGCUCCCCAAGUCCCUGAGAACAUUAAAACGUUAUGGAAGAGAUUCGCAAUAUUAAUGAUUACUACUAAUUAUAGUACGUUAUGUCAUAACGAUUAUUAAAACUACUUUUCGUCACGAAGACAUAAAAUCAUUUGUCGGUUUGAGAUUAUAAGGGAUAAGAUGUAACGACAAUAGUAUCGUUGUACGUAAUAUUAAUUGCAAGGAAUAUUUAACAUUUUUUUUUACUAUCAUGAUGUUUUUUUUUUUUCAAUUACAAUCAUCUGUGAUGGACAGUUCUUUUUUUUCUUUCUUUUUUUUUCUUUUUUUUUUCAAGCGAACGCAGAAGACGACCAUCAUCAUAGUAUUACGUACGAUUAGCACCUUACCGACGAUCCACUUUCCCUCGUGACAAUCCUCCACGCUGAUCGGCUUGUCAUCCAAAUUACAAUCUCCUGGACUCGAACAAGUGACCUUUCUACUUCUCUUUCCGAUCUCUGGUUCCGCAGUGGUCAGACCAUCGACCAACGUGAUACCAUCGUGAUCGUUUGAACUGACAUUGUAAAAGGAUGCAUCUUUGUUUUCCGUGUAG